rnacentral:rRNA from 1 species
CGGAGUGGCGAACGGGUGAGUAAUAUAUCGGAACGUAUCCAAUAAUGGGGGAUAACUAAUCGAAAGGUUAGCUAAUACCGAAUACGCCCUGAGGGGGAAAGCUAGGGACCACAAGGCCUGGCGUUAAUGGAGCGGCCGAUAUCUGAUUAGCUAGUUGGUGAGGUAAAGGCUCACCAAGGCUUCGAUAGGUAGCUGGUCUGAGAGGACGACCAGCCACACUGGAACUGAGACACGGUCCAG